GACGAACGCUGGCGGCGUGCUUAACACAUGCAAGUCGAACGGAAAGGCCCUGCUUUUGUGGGGUGCUCGAGUGGCGAACGGGUGAGUAACACGUGAGUAACCUGCCCUUGACUUUGGGAUAACUUCAGGAAACUGGGGCUAAUACCGGAUAGGAGCUCCUGCUGCAUGGUGGGGGUUGGAAAGUUUCGGCGGUUGGGGAUGGACUCGCGGCUUAUCAGCUUGUUGGUGGGGUAGUGGCUUACCAAGGCUUUGACGGGUAGCCGGCCUGAGAGGGUGACCGGCCACACUGGGACUGAGGUAAGGCCCAGAUUGCUACGGGAGGCAGCAGUGGGGAAUAUUGCACAAUGGGCGGAAGCCUGAUGCAGCAACGCCGCGUGCGGGAUGACGGCCUUCGGGUUGUAAACCGCUUGCGCAAGUGACGAAGCGUGAGUGACGGUAAUGUGUAAAGAAGCACCGGCUAACUACGUG
rnacentral:rRNA from 1 species